GAUGAACGCUGGCGGCGUGCUUAACACAUGCCAGUCGAACGGAAAGGCCCAAGCUUGCUUGGGUACUCGAGUGGCGAACGGGUGAGUAACACGUGGGUGAUCUGCCCUGCACUUCGGGAUAAGCCUGGGAAACUGGGUCUAAUACCGGAUAGGACGAUGGUUUGGAUGCCAUUGUGGAAAGUUUUUUCGGUGUGGGAUGAGCUCGCGGCCUAUCAGCUUGUUGGUGGGGUAAUGGCCUACCAAGGCGUCGACGGGUAGCCGGCCUGAGAGGGUGUACGGCCACAUUGGGACUGAGAUACGGCCCAGACUCCUACGGGAGGCAGCAGUGGGGAAUAUUGCACAAUGGGCGCAAGCCUGAUGCAGCGACGCCGCGUGGGGGAUGACGGCCGUCGGGUUGUAAACUCCUUUCGCUAGGGACGAAGCGUUUUUGUGACGGUACCCGGAGAGGAAGCACCGGCUAACUACGUG
rnacentral:rRNA from 1 species